GAGGCCCGAUGCCGUAUCCUGCCGCCCGUUUUACCCGCGGGAAAGCCGAGGCCCGGUGCUGUAUUCUGCCGCCCAUUUUACCCGCGGGGAAGCUGAGGCCCAGUGCUGUUUAAUAUCUUACUCAUGUUCACUUGAUGAGAAAGUGACAGAUCUGAGACAAACCCAGAUCGACAGAAAAGAAAUGAGUCAACGAUGGUGCAGAAAGGGACCAGCUUGACGAAGCUUCUGCUUUUGUGACUGUCUCCUAAUGCACCGCCGGCUCCUACAAGCAGGCCCUGGAGAAGCCACUUCACCUCCGCGUCUCAGGCCACUCACCUCCAAAGACAGAUGCAAACUCCGCCUCCCUCCUCGGUGAGAGUUUGAGAUUCCAAAUACGAUUUCUGUGGAGAAAACAAAAAAGGACUCUGUUUUUAAUUCAAAAGGGAGAAGUGAAAUUCUACCUCACUUUUUUAAAAGAAGAGCCUGGAAUUGGCCUAUCCGUCUUUUUCCCCGUUGGAUCACAGAGCAGAAAGGAAGGUGGGCGUUUGUGUUCUGGGUGUUGUCCACGCUGGACGUGCCAGCAUCUCCCACUGAGCCAGAUGUUCCAGGGCUAAGGCCAGUUUCAUUUGAAGGCACAGCCUUACUAUAUCAUAUGCUCCCAGGCUCUCCCGCAGUUUAAAGACUUAACUCAGCGGCUUUCAGGGCCUGUGGUUGAGGGACUCCGAAAGAACUGUUGCUGGUGGACCGGUUCAGGGUCUUGACUUCGCCACACAAAAGAACUUGAGAGCACGUCCAAAGUAAAGCUAAGACCUCUAGUACAGUGUUCAAUGGAACUGGUGAGAAAAGACGUCCUUGCUGUGUUCCUGAUAUGAAGAGGAAAGCAGUCCUUCUCCAUUAAAUGCUGACAACAUGAGCCUCCCGUGGUCGGAACGGGCUUGUGAAGGCGGUGCUGGGGUGCACCAGGGCAGCAGCUACAGCCACUGUCAUUCCUACCUGGAGAGAGCUCAGGAGAGAGAUGGUCAGGACAGAAGUCCGUCUGUGGCUGAGUCAGUACCUCAGGUGGGAAGAAGCUGAUGGAAUCCUUCUUGGGCAGCUCCUGCCCCUCUCCAGCCUAACUGGUCAAGCCUGAGACACCUGAAGCCCUGGACUUGGAAUCUGAAGCUGUCAUCAGCCAGUACACCUAUGAACCUGUGGAAGACCUGAAGUACCUGUUUAAAAGACAGCCAAAAGAUAAGUAAAUACUUCCCAAAUUU
ensembl:lncRNA MIR646HG MIR646 host gene